rnacentral:rRNA from 1 species
UGCCAGACUCCUACGGGAGGCAGCAGUGAGGAAUAUUGGUCAAUGGCCGGAAGGCUGAACCAGCCAAGUCGCGUGAGGGAAUAAGGCCCUAUGGGUCGUAAACCUCUUUUGUCGGGGAGCAAAGCGAGUCACGUUUGACUCAUUGAGAGUACCCGAAGAAAAAGCAUCGGCUAACUCCGUGCCAGCAGCCGCGGUAAUACGGAGGAUGCGAGCGUUAUCCGGAUUUAUUGGGUUUAAAGGGUGCGUAGGCGGAAUAUCAAGUCAGCGGUAAAAAUUCGGGGCUCAACCCCGUCGUGCCGUUGAAACUGAUGUUCUUGAGUGGGCGAGAAGUAUGCGGAAUGCGUGGUGUAGCGGUGAAAUGCAUAGAUAUCACGCAGAACUCCGAUUGCGAAGGCAGCUUACUAAACUAUAACUGACACUGAAGCACGAAAGCGUGGGGAUCAAACAGGAUUAGAUACCCCAGUAUGA